rnacentral:rRNA from 1 species
AUUGAACGCUGGCGGCAGGCCUAACACAUGCAAGUCGAACGAGUGGCGGACGGGUGAGUAAUGUCUGGGAAACUGCCUGAUGGAGGGGGAUAACUACUGGAAACGGUAGCUAAUACCGCAUACCAUCAGAUGUGCCCAGAUGGGAUUAGUUAGUUGGUGGGGUAACGGCUAACCAGGGCGACGAUCCCUAGCUGGUCUGAGAGUAGGACGGGCCAAACGGGAACGGAGACACGGUCCAGCUUCCUCCGGGAGGAAGCGUGGGGGAAUAUUCGACAUGGGGCGAAAGCCUGAUGAAGCCAUGCCGCGGGUAUGAAGCAGGCCUUCGGGUUGUAAAGUACGUUCAGCGGGGAGGCGUUACCCGAAGAAGAAGCACCGGCUAACUCCGUGCCAGCAGCCGCGGUAAUAC